rnacentral:rRNA from 1 species
GAGCCCGCACAAGCAGUGGAGUAUGUGGAUUAAUUCGACGCAACGCGAAGAACCUUACCGAAGCUUGACAUCCCGGAAAAAGGCUUGUAAAGAGCUAAUGCCCUUCGGGGAAUCCGGAGACAGGUGGUGCAUGGUUGUCGUCAGCUCGUGUCGUGAGAUGUUGGGUUAAGUCCCGCAACGAGCGCAACCCUUAUGAUUAGUUGCUACAUUAAGUUGAGCACUCUGGUCAGACUGCCGUUGACAAAACGGAGGAAGGUGGGGAUGACGUCAAAUCAUCAUGCCCCUUACGCUUCGGGCCUCACACGUACUACAAUGGCGCAAACAAAGGGAAGCGAAACCGCGAGGCGGAGCGAACCUCAUAAAAGGCGUCCCAGUUCGGACUGCAGGCUGCAACUCGCCUGCACGAAGUUGGAAUUGCUAGUAAUCGCGGAUCAGCAUGCCGCGGUGAAUACGUUCCCGGGCUUU